rnacentral:rRNA from 1 species
GAUGAACGCUGGCGGCGUGCUUAACACAUGCAAGUCGAACGGAAAGGCCGAAGCUUGCUUCGGUACUCGAGUGGCGAACGGGUGAGUAACACGUGGGUGAUCUGCCCUGUACUUCGGGAUAAGCUUGGGAAACUGGGUCUAAUACCGGAUAUGACAAUCUCUUGGAUGGGGUUGUGGAAAGCUUUUGCGGUAUGGGAUGAGCUCGCGGCCUAUCAGCUUGUUGGUGGGGUAAUGGCCUACCAAGGCGUCGACGGGUAGCCGGCCUGAGAGGGUGUACGGCCACAUUGGGACUGAGAUACGGCCCAGACUCCUACGGGAGGCAGCAGUGGGGAAUAUUGCACAAUGGGCGCAAGCCUGAUGCAGCGACGCCGCGUGGGGGAUGACGGCCUUCGGGUUGUAAACGCCUUUCGCAACCGACGAAGCUUUUUGUGACGGUAGGUUGAGAAGAAGCACCGGCUAACUACGUG